CUCAAGGUUCCCAAGAAGUUUAAGAUAGAACUGUUCGUCAAACCCUUGGAAUGGAGGAAGAGGUCUCGUGCUUCCCAAGAAGUUUUCAAUAGGACUGUUCAAACCGUCGGAAUGGAGAAAGAAGUCUUGAGCUUCCCAAUAAGCUUUACAUAGAACUGUCCAUCAAACUCUUGGAAUAGAGGAAGAGGCAGACUCUGGAGGGCCCAAAGAGAUGAGAGAUGCCUCCCAUGGAAAGGAAUGAAGCCCUUUGGGAUACAUAAUCUCGCAAAGGAAAUUAAGUGACAGCACCUGUAGCAAAAGAUGAUUUGUUACCCCUUGAAUUAAUAUUAAACCACAAACAAGACAGGAAGAAGAAAUUCAAACAUCCAGAAACCCCUUGUCUCCCUGCCCCUUUUUCUCUCCUUCCGGUUUCAGUGUUUAGCCACAUGAAGGGAAAAGGCAGAAGAACAGAGGAUAAGUAGAUCAAUAUUGAGAAACUGGAUGUUCAUGAACUGUCACUGAGAACAUGAUAAAAAGGAUUCAAUGGUAACUAGAAAAAAUCCUAUUUUCUCACAUGUUCAUACUCAAUGCAUAAAGCAAAAAAUGAUUAUUUACUAGAGAUUUUCACAGACAAAAAAAUAAAUUUUUGCUGAAAGUUUCA